AAUCUGCGAUAAGCGUCGGUAAGGUGAUAUGAACCGUUAUAACCGGCGAUUUCCGAAUGGGGAAACCCAGUGUGUUUCGACACACUAUCAUUAACUGAAUCCAUAGGUUAAUGAGGCGAACCGGGGGAACUGAAACAUCUAAGUACCCCGAGGAAAAGAAAUCAACCGAGAUUCCCCCAGUAGCGGCGAGCGAACGGGGAGCAGCCCAGAGCCUGAAUCAGUGUGUGUGUUAGUGGAAGCGUCUGGAAAGGCGCGCGAUACAGGGUGACAGCCC
rnacentral:rRNA from 1 species